rnacentral:rRNA from 2 species
GCAAGUCGAACGAGUUCUGAUUAUUGAAAGGUGCUUGCAUCUUGAUUUAAUUUUGAACGAGUGGCGGACGGGUGAGUAACACGUGGGUAACCUGCCCUUAAGUGGGGGAUAACAUUUGGAAACAGAUGCUAAUACCGCAUAAAUCCAAGAACCGCAUGGUUCUUGGCUGAAAGAUGGCGUAAGCUAUCGCUUUUGGAUGGACCCGCGGCGUAUUAGCUAGUUGGUGAGGUAACGGCUCACCAAGGCAAUGAUACGUAGCCGAACUGAGAGGUUGAUCGGCCACAUUGGGACUGAGACACGGCCCAAACUCCUACGGGAGGCAGCAGUAGGGAAUCUUCCACAAUGGACGCAAGUCUGAUGGAGCAACGCCGCGUGAGUGAAGAAGGCUUUCGGGUCGUAAAACUCUGUUGUUGGAGAAGAAUGGUCGGCAGAGUAACUGUUGUCGGCGUGACGGUAUCCAACCAGAAAGCCACGGCUAACUACGUGCCAGCAGCCGCGGUAAUACGUAGGUGGCAAGCGUUAUCCGGAUUUAUUGGGCGUAAAGCGAGCGCAGGCGGUUUUUUAAGUCUGAUGUGAAAGCCCUCGGCUUAACCGAGGAAGUGCAUCGGAAACUGGGAAACUUGAGUGCAGAAGAGGACAGUGGAACUCCAUGUGUAGCGGUGAAAUGCGUAGAUAUAUGGAAGAACACCAGUGGCGAAGGCGGCUGUCUGGUCUGUAACUGACGCUGAGGCUCGAAAGCAUGGGUAGCGAACAGGAUUAGAUACCCUGGUAGUCCAUGCCGUAAACGAUGAAUGCUAGGUGUUGGAGGGUUUCCGCCCUUCAGUGCCGCAGCUAACGCAUUAAGCAU